rnacentral:rRNA from 1 species
GAUGAACGCUGGCGGCGUGCCUAAUACAUGCAAGUCGAGCGAACAGACGAGGAGCUUGCUCCUCUGACGUUAGCGGCGGACGGGUGAGUAACACGUGGAUAACCUACCUAUAAGACUGGGAUAACUUCGGGAAACCGGAGCUAAUACCGGAUAAUAUAUUGAACCGCAUGGUUCAAUAGUGAAAGACGGUUUUGCUGUCACUUAUAGAUGGAUCCGCGCCGCAUUAGCUAGUUGGUAAGGUAACGGCUUACCAAGGCAACGAUGCGUAGCCGACCUGAGAGAGGGAUAGGCCACACUGGAACUGAGACACGGUCCAGACUCCUACGGGAGGCAGCAGUAGGGAAUCUUCCGCAAUGGGCGAAAGCAUGACGGAGCAACGCCGCGUGAGUGAUGAAGGUCUUCGGAUCGUAAAACUCUGUUAUUAGGGAAGAACAAAUGUGUAAGUAACUAUGCACGUAUUGACGGUACCGAAUCAGAAAGCCACGGCUAACUACGUG